rnacentral:rRNA from 1 species
GACGAACGCUGGCGGCGUGCUUAACACAUGCAAGUCGAGCGGUAAGGCCCUUUCGGGGGUACGACGAGCGGCGAACGGGUGAGUAACACGUGGGUGACCUGCCCUCCAGCUCUGGGAUAAGCCUGGGAAACCGGGGUCUAAUAACUGGAUAUGACUCCAUGACGCAUGUUGUGGGGUGGAAAGCCUUGUGCGGCUGAGGAUGGGCCCGGCGGCCUAUCAGCUUGUUGGUGGGGUGGAUGGCCUACCAAGGCGACGACGGGUAGCCGGCCUGAGAGGGC